GGGGGGGGGCAAGCGUUGUUCGGAAUUACUGGGGCGUAAAGGGCGCGCAGGCGGCCUGGCAAGUCCUACGUGAAAUCCCACAGCUCAACUGUGGAACUGCGUGGGAUACUGCCAGGCUUGAGUCCGGGAGAGGAGAGUGGAAUUCCCAGUGUAGCGGUGAAAUGCGUAGAUAUUGGGAGGAACACCGGUGGCGAAGGCGGCUCUCUGGACCGGUACUGACGCUGAGGCGCGAAAGCUAGGGGAGCAAGCGGGAUUAGAUACCCCGGUAGUCCUAGCCGUAAACUUUGAGCACUUUGUGUGGCGGGUAUCGACCCCUGCCGUGCAGAAGCUAACGCAUUAAGUGCUCCGCCUGGGGAGUACGGUCGCAAAGGCUG
rnacentral:rRNA from 1 species